UUACAAAUGGCCCCUCCCGCCCCGCUCGCCCGCUCGCUCGAGCUCGGCGCGGACCCGCCCGGGAGCGCUCCUCGCAGCAGCUGCCCGGGUCCCACCGCCCUACCGGGCGCAGGCGAUCAGACUACCUCGGAGGGCGCGCUCAGACACCCAGACGUCCGGCCACCUCAGUGGGGACACUCCGCACCCUGUGAUCCGACCACCCGCGGAGGGGCCCUAGCCCUCCGGGUGGGCGUGCUGGGCUUCUCUGCGGUGGAAGUCUGGACCACAGAUUGUGACUUCUCUUCUUAGCAGUAGGUGUUGACUGGUCCGACUGCUGCCCUUCUGCUUGAGAGGAGUUCAAACUGAAGGAGAAAAACCAUAUGUCCUUGGUCUGCCAUCUUAAACCAGAAGUCUGAAAUAUGGGUCUGAAUGCUGCUCGCAAGGAUCUCUUAGACUGAGGAGGACAGACAGCAGAGCCUUGCUACCAUAAACAUUUCCAGGAGAAACCAAUGUAUGAAGAGACUGGGGGCAUCUGGAAAGGUCAGUGUCAGAGACAAACAAUCAGAGAGAUCCCCAGCCCUGCAGCAGGAACUCUAACGCUCUCUGCCUGUGCUUGAAAGGCCUAGGACAGCACUGAAUCAAACAGGAGCUCUGAGGGUCUCUGACUGAACUUGGAACUCACGGUCUGAGCUAGAGUUGCUAUUGAGAAAGUCCCAGGAAUUCUUUGGUCUUCCACUCCUCAAAAUUUGCAGUACAGUGCCUCCUCAGGCCCACCAAAGUCUUCCAGGGUAAUGCAGAAGACCACGCCACAGUAAGAUGCAAGGUAGACACAUCUCCUCAUUGCUGUAUUCUGUAAUUAUCAGACAAGAGAGUGGGGUUCCUGUCUGAAGAUCCUCGAAGAUGUGCCUGUGUGAAGCUUUACCAUGUACUCUGUGUAGGUGUGGUCAGUUUUCACAUCCGUGCAGAUGUGAGCUAACUUUCCCCUGAUGUUUGCUGAGUGCAGGCCAACAGCAUUCUGCAUGGCUAACAUGUCUUAGAAACCAAAUCCCUGGGGCUGUCAUAUGCAGAGGGUCUGUGGUGUGGCCAUUUUAUAAAUGAGCCGAGUGAAGGCCAGAGAAAGAAACAGCAUGCUCCAAGUCAGAGCAGAAGGCAGCAUCCCCAAGAUCUGUUUUAAUGUUUGCUUUUUUACAACAGAGGAUCUCAUGAAGCCCAAGCUGGCUUCAGACUCAACUGUAUAGCUGAGGAUAGACUUGAACUUGAUUCUCUAGUUUUUCUACCACUGGAUACCAGGAUUAUAAGUAUGAACUAUCAUGCCCGGUACUUUAAGUACCAUCAUGAGGUACUAUGGACAGAACCCAGGUCUUCCUGAAUACUAGGAACGCACUCUACCAACUGAGCUAUAUCCCUAGACCCUCCUCUGGGGAUAAGCCCAGGUUCAAAUCCAAGGCCUUAACAACACCAGGACAUGGACUUACAGCACAGCAUGCUACAGGACCUGGGCAUGCUCUAUCCUGUCUAGUAAUGGCAAAAGCCAUCUUUUUAACAGCCCACACUAUGAUUCUUCCAUCAGACCAGAAAGGCCCUAGAUAGCCCAGCUUCCUAUUUUAAGCCAUCCUUGAUACAUUUAACUGAUGGCUGUGUGGGACUGCUAGGAAAAGUUUGGGAAUCACCAAGAGCUUUGACUUUCCUGCCCACAAAAACAAUUGGCCUUGGCAGAUGUCCAACACAAUGACCUUAGGUCCAUUUAACGAAAACCCUAUUAAUUCAAAAAGAAAGAAAGAAAAUAAAACAAAAUAGGACAGGCAGUAUAAAGAUCUUGAAAAUAAUCUUAUGUGCCCUUCCUCCACUGUUGCCUUGACCAGACAGGGCCACGAAGCUAAAAUGACAGGAUUAGGACAAUUGCUUUGUUAACACACAGGCGCAGCAUGACACGAACUCUAGAAAAGGCAUUUGGCAGGAUUAACCUGCUGAGGAUAAAGAUGUAGCAGACGGGACCUGAAUUAAUGGACUGGUAUGGCCAAAGUGGAGAAACCUAUUUGCAUGUAAUAUUAACUAUACUAAUAAACUCCAGGCUGGGCUCCAACAGCCCAGGAGCCUCUUUGAACCAGGACUUGAUUCCUGUACAUCGGAUCUCUGGCAUCUGCCAAGAUGUGUGAGUGCAAGUUGGCUGCCUACAGAUUACCACUCUGUCCUUGGUGCCUACACUAGCACAGGCCCUUUACUGACUCCAAAUUCAAGCAGAUCCCACUUACAAUCUUAUUUAUUACCUAUGGAAAAGCAAUGAAAAAACGCAGGUUCAACACAUGUAGAAAAUAUCCGCCUGGGACUGGAGAGAUGGCUCAGUAAUCAAGAGCCCUGGCUGUUCCUCCAGAGGACCCGAGUUCAGUUUGUGGCAUCCAAAUGGCAGCCAACAGUUAUCUAACUCCAGUUCUGGGGGAUCUGAAGCCCUCUUCUGACAUCUGCAGGCACAGUGCAUACAUGGCGCAUACACACACAUGCAAAACACAUAAAGUAAAAUUUAAGAAGAAAAUGCCUACCUGACCCAGGCUGUUGGCCUGACCUGUGUAUUUCUUGAAAGUCUGUAUGGGACUAAGGUGAGCCAGCAAGACUCCUGGGAUGUGACAUUUCAGGAGGUACCACUGUCUGGCUCAUUCUCCAAACAAGGUGAAUGCCUAAAGAUUCGUGCAGUGCCCCUCAGACUGCCCUACUGCAGUUUACCAUUGAAACAGUGUAAUCUAUACCCAUUCAAAAUCAAUACACUUGCAAUAGACAGCUGGAUGCUGGGCCGUGUGGUGGAGGAGAAGAAUGUCGGCGGGUGGGGACCUCUGAGGGGUCCUGUAAAAUACAUUUCAGAUCAUUCCAACUAAAGAGCAAGAGAUCCUGGUAUUUAUCUACCAGCUUUUCUACUUUUUUGUUUGUUUGGUUGGUUGGUUUUUGUUUUUCAAUACAGGGUUUCUCUGUGUAGUCCUGGCUGUCCUGGAACUCACUCUGUAGACGAGGCUGGCCUCAAACUCAGAAAUCCGCCUGCCUCUGCCUAUUAAAGGCACAUGACACUGCUGCCCAGCUCUUUACUGUACCUGGCUGGUAGCUGUCCUUGGAGAGUAAUUCCCCACCAUACAGACUAGACAUACUCCCCACAAAGAAGCCAGGAAACCUAGAGCAACAGCCUGUGUGUACAAGAAUGCCUAGGCCAUGUGGAGUGUAAAAAGGUGUGAGUCAGGCUGUGAGUGACAGCCACUGAAGUUUCCAGGUUCUUGUAUACUUCAACAAAGAAUUGUUCUAGGAAUGCUAAUAAAGAUUGAAAUAAAAGAAAGAGAGAGAGCCCUUGAAAGGUUAGCCACAGAGCUGGAACAGCUCUGAGAUUCAAAAGCCCCAGGCUCCAGGCUUCAUAGGUCAUUUAUGUAACAUCUGCCUUCUCUUGCAUUUGGAGGUGGGCUUUCGGUCUGUUUUGUUGUAGUUAGUUUUGGUGAAAGGGAUUUUCCCUGCCAGCUGCCUUAGGGGGGUGAGGGAGGCAGGGUUGACUAGGGAGUCUUCCUAAACUGCUCUCUACCUCUUUCAUUGACACAGGGCCUCUCAGUUGAAUCCAGAGCUCACUAGAAUGGACUAGUCCAGCUAGCCAGCUUACUCGGGAGGAUCCCCUGCAUCUGCUUCCAGAAUGCUGAGAUUGCAACAGGGACGCCUGCCAGCUGCCAUUUUUAUAGGUUCUAAGUUGUCAGGCUUGCCCCAAGCAGCAGCUCUGCAGAGCCACCUCUGGAUCAUCAGCUAUCUGCCGUCUCAGGACCACCCAGCAGUGAUGCACAUACUGCAGAGGCAACCCCUUCGCCAUCGG